GCGAUCAUAUCAGUACUAAUGCAUCGGAUCCCAUUAGAACUCUGAAGUUUAGCGUGCUUGGGCGAGAGCAGUACUAGGAUGGGUGACCCCUUGGGAAGUCCUCGUGUUGCACCU
rnacentral:rRNA from 1 species